UGGCGCCUUCGGGGCGCUCAGAAGUGGGUCCUGAAGGGUGAUGCGAAUACUGCAUACUUCCAGGCUAUCGCCAACGGCCGCCAUAGACGCAACACCAUCCCCCUCCUCUGGGAUGGGGAGACCCUUCUUCAGGACCCUCGCGACAUCCGGACUCAUGUCGACGGCUUCUAUAGGUCCCUUUUCUCUGCCGCUCCUCGGAGCGGCAUCUCCCUCGCCCAUGAUUGUUGGGCCGGCAUUCAGUUAGUCUCCGACGCGGAGAACGCGGCCCUGACGGCCCCCUUCUCUGAGCAGGAGGUCUGGGAGGCUAUCAAGGGUAUGAAUGCCUCUUCUGCGCCGGGCCCAGAUGGCCUCCCGGUCAUUUUCUUCCAGACCUUCUGGAACGUGAUUAAACCGGGGGUC
rnacentral:rRNA from 1 species